GAGCGUCAUUUCAACCCUCAAGCCCUGCUUGGUGUUGGGGUCCUACGGCUGCCGUAGGCCCUGAAGCUAGUGGCGGGCUCGCUACAACUCCGAGCGCAGUAAUGUAUCUCGCUAGGGAAGUGUCGCGGGUUCCGGCCGUUAAACCCCCCAAUUUUUACAAGGUUGACCUCGGAUCAGGUAGGAAUACCCGCUGAACUUAA
rnacentral:misc_RNA from 1 species